UACGUAGGGCGCAAGCGUUAUCCGGAAUUAUUGGGCGUAAAGAGCUCGUAGGCGGUUUGUCGCGUCUGCCGUGAAAGUCCGGGGGCUCAACUCCGGAUCUGCGGUGGGUACGGGGCAGACUAGAGUGAUGUAGGGGAGACUGGAAUUCCUGGUGUAGCGGUGAAAUGCGCAGAUAUCAGGAGGAACACCGAUGGCGAAGGCAGGUCUCUGGGCAUUAACUGACGCUGAGGAGCGAAAGCAUGGGGGAGCGAACAGG
rnacentral:rRNA from 1 species